AGCUGCCACCACUUCUAACUGGGAUCUCCUCACAUCUCUCAAGUUAAGCAGUGCUGGGGCAGGGUCAGUACUUGGAUGGGAGACCUUCAAAGGAAAUCCACAUAUGGUUAGUAGCAAUUC
ensembl:rRNA 5S_rRNA 5S ribosomal RNA